rnacentral:rRNA from 1 species
CGCGUCCUAUGCAUGCAGUCGAACGAGGAAUAUUACUUCGGUUUUAUUCUUAGUGGCGAACGGGUGAGUAACACGUAAGCAACCUGCCCUCGAGUGGGGGACAACUCCGAGAAAUUGGUGCUAAUACCGCAUAAUGUGUAGGGGUAAUGCCCGAACACCAAAGCCUUCGGGCGCUUGAGGAGGGGCUUGCGGCCUAUCAGGUAGUUGGUAGGGUAACGGCCUACCAAGCCGAUGACGGGUAGGGGGCGUGAGAGCGCGAUCCCCCACACUGGCACUGAGACACGGGCCAGGCUCCUACGGGAGGCAGCAGUGAGGAAUAUUGCCCAAUGGACGCAAGUCUGAGGCAGCAACGCCGCGUGCGCGAUGAAGGCCUUCGGGUUGUAAAGCGCUUUUCUGGGGGAAGAGGAAGGACGGUACCUCAGGAAUAAGUCACGGCUAACUACGUGCCAGCAGCCGCGGUAAUACGUAGGUGGCGAGCGUUAUCCGGAAUUACUGGGCGUAAAGCGCGUGCAGGCGGUUCGGUAAGUUGGACGUGAAAGCUCCUGGCUUAACUGGGAGAGGCCGUUCAAAACUGCCGGACUUGAGGUUGGGAGAGGGACGUGGAAUUCCCGGUGUAGUGGUGGAAUGCGUAGAUAUCGGGAGGAACACCAGUGGCGAAGGCGGCGUCCUGGCCCACACCUGACGCUGAGACGCGAAAGCGUGGGUAGCGAACGGGAUUAGAUACCCCGGUAGUCCACGCUGUAAACGAUGUGGACUUGGCGUUGGUGGGGUUAAAUCCAUCAGUGCCGGAGCUAACGCGAUAAGUCCACCGCCUGGGGACUACGGUCGCAAGAUUAAAACUCAAAGGAAUUGGCGGGGGCCCGCACAAGCAGCGGAGCGUGUGGUUUAAUUCGAUGCUACACGAAGAUCUUACCCGGGUUUGACAUCCAGGUGGUAGGAACCGAAAGAGACCGACCCUUCGGGAGCCUGACAGUGCUGCAUGCUGUCGUCAGCUCGUGUCGUGAGAUGUCCGGUAGUCCGGUACGAGCGCAACCCUUGCUGUAUGUUAAUACGUGUCAUACAGA